rnacentral:lncRNA from 10 species
CAGAAGCCAGAAGGCCGGGGCGGAGUGGGUUGUCCAAGAGCUUGUCUUGUCCUCUUGCCCUGGCCACAGCCGGGAAGCCCUGGGCAGGCGCCCGUGGAUAGCUGGCACGCUCAGCCUUUGGUGGAGAACUGAGUCUGAAGCAGGAAGGUGGAAAAACAUUUCGUGCUCAGGGAGGAAACGUCUUCACCCCGGUUUACAGGAUGACACGUCAGCAGGGCCCUCACCAGAUGCUGGCCCCUUGAUCUCAGACUUCCCGGCCUCCUGCGCUGCCAGCCUAAUACACUUCUCUUCGUUGUAAAUUACUCAGUCUGUGAUAUUCUGUGAUAGCAACAGAAAACAGACGAAGACGCAGGCCAAGGCAGAUCAAGAUACUGGCUCCGGUCAAAUACUGUGUUUCGACGUGAUUGACAGGCGAAGGCUUAAGGAAAAGGAAGAGGAGAAAAAAAGGGGAGGACGAUCAAGGAAAAGAGGAGAUAAAAG